rnacentral:tRNA from 1 species
GGACAGAUGGGUGAGUGGUUGAAACCGCACGCCUGGAACGCGUGUGUAGGGCAACCUACCGAGGGUUCGAAUCCCUCUCUGUCCGCCA